rnacentral:rRNA from 1 species
GACGGAGGGGGCUAGCGUUGUUCGGAAUGACUGGGCGUAAAGGGCGCGUAGGCGGUGUGUCAAGUCAGGCGUGAAAGCCCCGGGCUCAACCUGGGAACAGCGCUUGAGACUGGCACGCUCGAGUUCGGGAGAGGAUGGUGGAAUUCCCAGUGUAGAGGUGAAAUUCGUAGAUAUUGGGAAGAACACCGAUGGCGAAGGCAGCCAUCUGGACCGACACUGACGCUGAGGCGCGAAAGCGUGGGGAGCAAACAGG